rnacentral:tRNA from 1 species
GGCGGCAUAGCCAAGUGGUAAGGCAACGGUCUGCAAAACCGUUAGUCCCCGGUUCAAGUCCGGGUGCCGCCUCCA